GUUUCAGAAAGGCACAGAGAAUGCAACUGAUUACGAUAAAAAGAAGUUUGUUCCGAGGCCAGUUGUUGGAACUAUUGAAACACCAGACUAAACAUUUAGCGGAGCAUCAACUCGGAGGCGGAAAAAAUAUGUCACAGCAAAGCAGCAAACGUUCCUCAAGAAGCGCACCGUCAAACAGUUACGUUAAAACAUGAACCGAGCUUGAACAUGGUCGUAACAUGAAUCCAAAAGUUGUAUUGCCUUCGUCGUAGAAGGUGCUAGACCUCGACCGUCACUGAAGUACCUGUAGAACAAAAAUGCGUGUUUUUAAAGAAUCUAUGUCAUCAGUAACAUGUUGAUGCAAUCGAUAUUUUCUUUUGGAACUAAUAUUCAUACGAGAGAUAGAUACGAUCAUGACAUAAUCGGGAAAAGUCCCACUUGUAAAAACUGCACCUUAGCAGUGCACAGAGUAUUUGCCUUGUAAAACAAAUAAUAAAAUCAU